CCCUCUCUCCCUCCCUUCGCAGAGCCCCUGGAAAAAAGAGGAAAGUCGGCUUCGACUGCCACCUUUUGGGCAUUUGGAAAAAUGACUCGGUAGGAAACGGAGAGAGGCGGAGGCGCGGGGGAGAUUCUCAAAAUCAAAGUCGCAGCCCUCCCUCCUCUCACGCACGUAUCCUACAUGGCACGCGUGCUUUGCGGUCCCCGCUCCUUGCUGUCCGCAGCGCCCCCCGAGUGAGGGCCGGGGCGGGAGAGGAGUUGCGGAUGUCGGGUGGUGGGCUGGGCUCCUCGCCCAGGGAGAAAAGCCCGAGGGCCGCUGCCAGGAGCUCCAGGCGCGACGCAGCUCCCCUUGGCCCCACCGCGCGCGGCGUCGGGCCUGGGCGCAGGGCAGAGGCGGACAGGUCCCUGCCGCGCGCAGAGAGCACCUGGGGAGCUUGCUGCUGGACGCCCGCUGUGGCCUCCUGCGUGCUCCCCGCCCCACCUGAAAGUACGGCUAGUUGGUGCCAUCUCUGGAGACCGGGCAGCGUGGGGUCCGCUCCGAGGUUUGGGGAGACGCCUCCUGGAGGGCUCAGCCCCUUCCCUCGGCACCGCUGGCCGUGCUUUGCAGUGGACUCGAGAUUUCUCGGACUCUGUCACAUCAGAGCCAAGGCGGUUCUAGAAACGUGACCUAGAGGGCUUGGGGAACAGGGCACCCGAGAUUCUGGCAGGCAGACGGGGCGCGAGGGCGGGGGUCGGGAGCCGCAGCCCGAGGGCGGUGGGCGGCGCCCGGGAGUCUGAGGCCGGAGCUCUGGAUGACUUUUAACGUCCCGAAAACUUUCCCUGGCCGUUCGGAUCCCGGCAGGACCCCUGCCUGAGCGGAGGCAGUCAAAACGUGACUCGAUCCUGCAGAGCUACUAGGUAGUCGUUUCGAAGCCGGGUGGAGCGGCGUGGAAUUGAGCAGCGGGGCGCCAUGCCUGGCCAGGCAUUUUUCCUGGUCUCGCUCCCCUGCCCGGUGCUACCCCGCACCCACUGGCUCUUUGGUGACACGUAUAACUCGGGUCGUGUCGGUGCAGAGUCUAUAAGACACUGGGAGCUCCAGGGCCGAGAGAGAGCCGAGGGGGAGCGAGGGUCCCAGGCCUGAUGCGGGCUGAUGGCAGGAAGGGGGAGGAUUCCCCUUUCCGCCUGCGCCUAAAAUUCUCUCC
rnacentral:lncRNA from 1 species